GAUGAACGCUGGCGGCGUGCCUAAUACAUGCAAGUCGAGCGAACGGACGAGAAGCUUGCUUCUCUGAUGUUAGCGGCGGACGGGUGAGUAACACGUGGAGAACCUACCUAUAAGACUGGGAUAAAUUCGGGAAACCGUAGCUAAUACCGGCUAAUCUUUUGAACAGCAUGGUUCAAAAGUUAAAGACGGUCUUGCUUUCACUUAUAGAUGGAUCCGCGCUGCAUUAGCUAGUUGGUAAGGUAACGGCUUACCAAGGCAACGAUGCAUAGCCGACCUGAGAGGGUGAUCGGCCACACUGGAACUGAGACACGGUCCAGACUCCUACGGGAGGCAGCAGUAGGGAAUCUUCCGCAAUGGGCGAAAGCCUGACGGAGCAACGCCGCGUGAGUGAUGAAGGUCUUCGGAUCGUAAAACUCUGUUAUUAGGGAAGAACAUAUGUGUAAGUAACUGUGCACAUCUUGACGGUACCUAAUCAGAAAGCCACGGCUAACUCCGUG
rnacentral:rRNA from 1 species